AAGGAAUAUUGCUCAAUGGGAGAAAUCCUGAAGCAGCAACGCCGCGUGGAGGAUGAAGGGUCUAUGACUUGUAAACUCCUGUAAAGAAGGAAAAAAUUCCCAUUUGAUGGGAGAUGAUGGUACUUCUGGAGUAAGCCCCGGCUAACUACGUGCCAGCAGCCGCGGUAAUACGUAGGGGGCAAGCGUUGUCCGGAUUUACUGGGUGUAAAGGGUGCUCAGGCGGAUUUGUAAGUCAGAGGUGAAAUCUUACAGCUUAACUGUGAAACUGCCUUUGAUACUGCAAGCCUAGAGUAUGGAAGAGAGUGAUGGAAUAUCUGGUGCAGCAGUGAAAUGCGUAGAUAUCAGAUAGAACACCAAUGGCGAAGGCAGUCACUUGGUCCAUUACUGACGCUAAAGCACGAAAGCGUGGGUAGCAAACA
rnacentral:rRNA from 1 species